rnacentral:rRNA from 1 species
GACGGGUGAGUAACACGUAAAGACUUGCCCUGCAGUCUGGGACAACUACUGGAAACGGUAGCUAAUACCGGAUAUUGCCGCAUGGCGAAAGCUAUAUGCGCUGCAGGAGAGCUUUGCGUCCCAUUAGUUAGUUGGUGAGGUAACGGCUCACCAAGACCGCGAUGGGUAGCCGGCCUGAGAGGGUGAACGGCCACAAGGGGACUGAGACACGGCCCUUACUCCUACGGGAGGCAGCAGUGGGGAAUAUUGGACAAUGGACCAAAGUCUGAUCCAGCAAUUCUGUGUGCACGAUGACGGUCUUAGGAUUGUAAAGUGCUUUCAAUCGGGAAAAAGAAAGUGAUGGUACCGAUAGAAGAAGCGACGGCUAAAUACGUGCCAGCAGCCGCGGUAAUACGUAUGUCGCAAGCGUUAUCCGGAUUUAUUGGGCGUAAAGCGCGUCUAGG